AGGAGUCCUGCCGAAUGUGUAAGAUCUAGGAAAAUCGAAGUGAACGGAGAAGGUAAUGGGGGUAGGCCUAGGCCCUUUGCGGCUGUAGUGGGAACGAAAAAGAUGAUGCCAUAUUCUGGAGACUAAGAUAUCGUGGGAAGUUGCUGAUGAUGGUAGCCCUGUGUCACCAGCAAUAGAAAUGAGCGGCAUUGUGACAAGUCAGACUGAAUGAGGAGGGAAACAGCAAUGGAAUGUGGUGAAGGGUGUUGUUGAGAAUUGUUCAGCUACUGGGUAUGUUACAGAGACAUAAUGGGUCCUGGUUUUGUUGGAAAUGAUACCACCAUUUGCAAGGUAAAAUUUUGGAGAAUUAGAAAACCUCCAAGGAGUUUGCUGCUGAGGAUACUUUUCGACACCAUUUAUGUACUGAGUUGCAAUGAAACAGAUCUGACAAUGAAGAUGCAAAAGCUUCAGUGAUGUGUCGUGUUGAAGAGAGUUGAGAGGAAUGGAUGUAGUACUAGUGAAGUUGCAUAGAAAAAGUGUGUCUUAUUGACAGUGGAAAUGGGUCGGCGACUCCAUGCCAUGAAUUGCGAGGCCAUAUUCUGGAGACUAAGAUAUCGUGGGAAGUUGCUGAUGAAGGUAGCCCUGUGUCACCAGCAAUAAAAAUGAGCGGCAAUGUGACAAGUCAGACUGAAUGAGGAGGGAAACAGGAAUGGAAUGUGGUGAAGAGUUUUGUUGAGAUUUGUUCAGCUACUGGGUAUGUUAGAGAGACAUAAUGGGUCCUGGUUUUGGUGGAAAUGAUACCACCAUUUACAAGGCCAUAUUCUGGAGAUUAAGAUAUCGUGGGAAGUUGCUGAUGAUGGUAGCCCUGUGUCACCAGCAAUAGAAAUCAGCGGCAACGUGACAAGUCAGACCAAAUGAGGAGGAAACAUCAAUGAAAUGUGGUGAAGAGUAUUGUUGAAAAUUGUUCAGCUACUGGGUAUGUUAGAGAGACAUAAUGGGUCCUGGUUUUGGUGGAAAUGAUACCACCACACCAUACCACUAUUUACAAGGUGAAAUUUUGGAGAAUUAGAAAACCUCCAAGGAGUUUGCUGCUGUGGGUGCUUUGCGACACCCUUUUAUGAACUGAGUUGCAAUGAAACAGAUCUGGUAAUGAACACGCAAUAGCUUCAGUGAUGUCUCGUGUUGUAGAGAAUUGAGAGGAAUGGAUCUGGUGAAGUUGCAUAGCAAAAGUGUGUGUUAAUGACAAUGGAAAUGGGAACGCCACACAAUACUAUGAAUUGUAGAGGCCUUUCGACGAGCUGAUCACCCGCCCAAGGAGUCCUACCGAAUGUGUAAGAUCUAGGAAAAUCGAAGUGAACGGAUAAGAUGAUGUGGGUAGGUGUAGGCCCUCUGCGGUUGUAGUGGGAACGAAAAAUAUGAUGUAAGAUAAGUACAUUAGAUGUAGUUGAUUUCAUUUGUAACUAUAUUUGAUGACUUUCAUAUAGUGUUUUACUUGCAUUUUUGAUUAACUGUGUUCUCUCUCUCUCUCUUAGUUCAGGUAGUCAAUAUUUUUCUUUCUUGACUUUCCAUUGAGCUUCAAGCUAUAUUUCUGUGAAACAAGUCAAUUUCUUGUCCUACACACCUUAUUCUGAGACUAAGAUAUCAUGGGAAGUUGCUGAUAUUGGUAGCCCAGUGUUACCAGCAAUUGAAGUCAGCGGCAAUGUGACUUGUCAGACUGAAUGAGGAGGGAAACAUCAAUGAAAAGUGGUGAAGAGUGUUGUUGAGAGUUGAUCAGCUUCUGGGUAUGUUACGGGGACAUAAUGGUUCCUGGUGUCGGUGGAAAUGAUACCGCCACACCAUACCACCAUUUACAAGUUGACGUGCAUCAGGAAUCCCUUCUGCGUAAAAUUUUGGAGAAUUAGAAAACCUCCAAGGAGUUUGCUGCUGUGGGUGCUUUGCGACUCCUUUUAUGAACUGAGAUGCAAUGAAACAGAUCUGGCAAUGAACACGCAAUAGCUUCAGUGAUGUCUCGUGUUAUAGAGAUUUGAGAGGAAUGGAUCUAGUACUGGUGAAGUUGCAUAGCAAAAGUGUGUCUUAAUGACAGUGGAAAUGGGAACGCCACACAAUACCAUGAAUUGUAGUUUCCUUUUGACGAGCUGAUCACCCGCCAGAGUAGUCCUACUGAAUCUGUAAUAUCUAGAAAGACCAAAGUGAUCUGAGAUAAUUGAUGGAGAUAGGCCUAGGCCCACUGCUGCUCUAGUGGGAACGAAAAAGAAGAUGUAAGAUAAGUAAAUGUGAUGUAGUUGAUUUCAUUUGUAAUUGAAUUUGAUGACUUUUAUACACGUAUUUCAAUUUUGAAUCAGGGUUUAGAUUUUUGUGAUUUUUGUUUAGAUUUUCUACUGUCUUCGCAAUGUUAUUACCCCCAUUUUCAUCGGAGCUACUGUCACUUUUACCUUCUUUGGCCACAAUUCUUUGUUCCCCCCUGUCACUGCUGCUCUCUCAAUCACCAUAACUAAGCAUCUCACAAAGCAGGUCAGCUGGCUCAUCGGAGAAAAAUUUGUCCUUGUCCACAACUCACCACUAGAAUAGAAGAAUAGAAUAUAUGAGUGGUGAGUCUUCUCAGCCCUUGCACCAUGACC